AGUCACUGACAUUAGAUACCCCCGUAGUCCAGGGUGUAAACGCUGCAGACUUGGUGUUGGAAGUCCUUUGGGGGGCAUUCAGUGCCGGAGAGAAGUUGUUAAGUCUGCUACUUGGGGAGUACGUCCGCAAGGAUGAAACUUAAAGGAAUUGGCGGGGGAGCACCGCAACGGGAGGAGCGUGCGGUUUAAUUGGAUUCAACACCGUAAAACUCACCAGGGAAGACUGUUACAUGAAAGCCGAGAUGAAGACUCUGCUAGAUUUUCAG
rnacentral:rRNA from 1 species